rnacentral:misc_RNA from 1 species
GUCAACCUCUCCUUACCUUGU